GGAAGAGAGAAGCAGGGAGGAGUGUAAAAAUGGAUUUAACGUCCGGCUCAUUCCCAGAUUGGCUACAGCUCUGCUUCUUGCCCAAGACAGUAACAGAGCAGCCCAUUUGGAGCAUCUGGUUUCUUGGCAGAGAGAGAAACAAGAUCUUGUAAACCAUGAGCAGUCUUUCAAAACUUCUGUUCCAGGAGAACACACAUCAUUUCCAUCUAGUUUCUUUAGAAAAAAGAAGGCUGCAGCCUGUGGAUUAAACUGACAUAUGGAGCAAAGCAGAACCAAAUG
rnacentral:lncRNA from 1 species